rnacentral:tRNA from 1 species
GCGUCGGUAGCAUAGUAGUAGAAUGCUCACCAAGCACUCAGGUGGUCCGGGGUUCGAUUCCCGGCAGACGCA